rnacentral:rRNA from 1 species
UAGUGGCGAACGGGUGAGUAACACGUGGGCAAUCUGCCCUUCACUCUGGGACAAGCCCUGGAAACGGGGUCUAAUACCGGAUACAACCACUGACCUCAUGGUCGGGUGGUGGAAAGCUCCGGCGGUGAAGGAUGAGCCCGCGGCCUAUCAGCUUGUUGGUGAGGUAAUGGCUCACCAAGGCGACGACGGGUAGCCGGCCUGAGAGGGCGACCGGCCACACUGGGACUGAGACACGGCCCAGACUCCUACGGGAGGCAGCAGUGGGGAAUAUUGCACAAUGGGCGAAAGCCUGAUGCAGCGACGCCGCGUGAGGGAUGACGGCCUUCGGGUUGUAAACCUCUUUCAGCAGGGAAGAAGCGAAAGUGACGGUACCUGCAGAAGAAGCGCCGGCUAACUACGUGCCAGCAGCCGCGGUAAUACGUAGGGCGCAAGCGUUGUCCGGAAUUAUUGGGCGUAAAGAGCUCGUAGGCGGCUUGUCACGUCGGGUGUGAAAGCCCGGGGCUUAACCCCGGGUCUGCAUUCGAUACGGGCUAGCUAGAGUGUGGUAGGGGAGAU